rnacentral:rRNA from 1 species
AUCGAACGCUGGCGGCAUGCCUUACACAUGCAAGUCGAACGGUAACAGGUCUUCGGAUGCUGACGAGUGGCGAACGGGUUAGUAAUACAUCGGAACGUGCCUAGUAGUGGGGGAUAACUACUCGAAAGAGUGGCUAAUACCGCAUGAGAUCUACGGAUGAAAGCAGGGGAUCGCAAGACCUUGUGCUACUAGAGCGGCCGAUGGCAGAUUAGGUAGUUGGUGGGAUAAAAGCUUACCAAGCCGACGAUCUGUAGCUGGUCUGAGAGGACGAUCAGCCACACUGGGACUGAGACACGGCCCAGACUCCUACGGGAGGCAGCAGUGGGGAAUUUUGGACAAUGGGCGCAAGCCUGAUCCAGCAAUGCCGCGUGCAGGAUGAAGGCCUUCGGGUUGUAAACUGCUUUUGUACGGAACGAAAAGCCCCGGGUUAAUACCCUGGGGUCAUGACGGUACCGUAAGAAUAAGCACCGGCUAACUACGUGCCAGCCGCCGCCGUAA